CAAGAGAUUACAGGAAGAGGAAUACAGUAGAACAUCUAAGGCCCUGAGAAGGAGCAGAGGGGGCUUCAACAGCAGACUUGACUGGAUAGAAAAAAGAAUCAGCAAACAUGAAGCUAGGUCAUUUGAAAGUAAGAAGUCUGAGGACAAAAAAAAGGGAAGUAUGAAGAAAAGUGAACAGAGCCUAAGAGACUUACGGAAUAACAGUAAGUGGACCAAUAUACAUAUUACAUGAGUCCUAGAAAGGGAAGAGAGAGAGAGAAAGGGGAAGAAAGUUUAUUUGAAGAAAUAAUAGCUGAAAAAAAUA
rnacentral:lncRNA from 1 species